UAGGGAAUCUUCCGCAAUGGACGAAAGUCUGACGGAGCAACGCCGCGUGAGUGAAGAAGGAUUUCGGUUCGUAAAACUCUGUUGUUAGGGAAGAAAAAAUGUAUAGUAACUAUAUACAAAAGAGACGGUACCUAACCAGAAAGACACGGCUAACUACGUGCCAGCAGCCGCGGUAAUACGUAGGUGGCAAGCGUUGUCCGGAAUUAUUGGGCGUAAAGCGCGCGCAGGUGGUUUAGAAAGUCUGAUGUGAAAGCCCACGGCUCAACCGUGGAGGGUCAUUGGAAACUAAUAAACUUGAGUGCAGGAGAGAAAAGUGGAAUUCCUAGUGUAGCGGUGAAAUGCGUAGAGAUUAGGAGGAACACCGGUGGCGAAAGCGGCUUUUUGGCCUGCAACUGACACUGAGGCGCGAAAGCGUGGGGAGCAAACAGG
rnacentral:rRNA from 1 species